GCCUAGUUAGCUUGGUGGGUAGCAGGUCUGCCUUCAAAGCACUAGGUUGUGGGUUCAAUUCCCACCUAAGGUG
rfam:Asian citrus Psyllid, Diaphorina citri - Florida Strain, whole genome shotgun sequence.